UAUAAACUCCGCCUCCAUCAAUCACGGCCUAGGACCAACCAGUAACUUCUCCCACCACGGGAGGGUGAGUCAGGGCGGUGAAAAAUAAAAAAGUUUGACCUAGAUCAGGAAUAACUUGAAAACUGAGCCUAAUCAAGAAAUAGAGAGUGGGGGUGAUUGAAUCUAAUGAGACAAAAUGAGCUCCGAUCCAAACACACAGCAACUCCAAGAAGGCAAGUGAAGUCCACCGAGUGUUGAGUCUGAGUCUGAGUCUGGAGUGUCUGGUAAUUGGAAUGGGGAUUAGCAGAGAGAAGAGAAGCCCUUCAUCUACUACAUCCCCUUGUGCCCAUCUCAGAGCCGCCUACCACAAUUGCUUUAACAGGUGGUAUUCAGAGAAGUUUGUCAAGGGUCAUUGGGAUAAACAGGAGUGUGUUUCUGAGUGGCAAAAUUACAGAAAUUGUCUCUUACAACAUUUGCAGGAUAAGCAUCUGAGUCGCUUCUUAGAAGCUGAAGAAGGUGUUGUUGAUUUGACUGAUCAAGCUGAUUCUAAGAACCCUGCUGCUGGUGUCUCUAAUUGAUACAUGUUGCGUCUGCCUCAAUCAGAGAGGAUUAGAACUCUAUGCUAUACUAUUCGAUACCCAGCCUCAAAUCGAUUCAAAAUGCCGUAAUCAAUUUGAAAGAAAGAAGAAAUCUUGCGGUAUCUCUUCUCUUCCCUUCGGUUUGUCUAGUCUCGUCUUUGGACCAGGCUUCCACACCUUCAUCGUGCGUAGUUGCGGGGAGCAAUCAAGAAUAUCAUUCAUUUGCUGGUUUCACUUUUCUGGAUAAUUGACAAAUCACGGUUGCUGCUGACAGCAUAAAAUCUUUGUUUGAACAUUUGGGUCUGGCUUUCACACCUUCAUCAUGCGUAUGUGGGGAGUAAUCAAGAAUAUCAUUCAUUUGCCGAAGUGGAAGAAACUAUAAAUACGAUUACUGAAUUAUCAUGGGCAUAAUAUGCUUUAUGCCUUUCUGAGUUGCAAAUCCAUCCCUCUAAGAUUAGCUCCGCUCAUUCUCAAAAUGGAAAUAUGCCAAAACUAUAAGUUGGUAUGCUACAAUGUCAAAAUGUCUAAUUUUGGCAAUGUUUCUUUACUGAUAAUUGUUUAUUUAUGUCUAUUGGAUCUCUCACAACCAGACUAGUGGAUCCAAACCCUCCCUUAGGUGAGCUGAGUUGGCAUAAAUGACAUUGCCAAACGUUAUGCCAAAUUUGGUGCAAUGUCACUUUCUGGCAAAGCUCUUUUAGCAUUCCACUAGAGGUUUUUUGAGUGAAGCUACUAUAUUUUGAGUGUAACGCUA